GGUAUCCUGUCUGAAUAUGGGGGGACCAUCCUCCAAGGCUAAAUACUCCUGACUGACCGAUAGUGAACCAGUACCGUGAGGGAAAGGCGAAAAGAACCCCGGCGAGGGGAGUGAAAAAGAACCUGAAACCGUGUACGUACAAGCAGUGGGAGCACGCUUAGGCGUGUGACUGCGUACCUUUUGUAUAAUGGGUCAGCGACUUAUAUUCUGUAGCAAGGUUAACCGAAUAGGGGAGCCGAAGGGAAACCGAGUCUUAACUGGGCGUUAAGUUGCAGGGUAUAGACCCGAAACCCGGUGAUCUAGCCAUGGGCAGGUUGAAGGUUGGGUAACACUAACUGGAGGACCGAACCGACUAAUGUUGAAAAAUUAGCGGAUGACUUGUGGCUGGGGGUGAAAGGCCAAUCAAACCGGGAGAUAGCUGGUUCUCCCCGAAAGCUAUUUAGGUAGCGCCUCGUGAAUUCAUCUCCGGGGGUAGAGCACUGUUUCGGCAAGGGGGUCAUCCCGACUUACCAACCCGAUGCAAACUGCGAAUACCGGAGAAUGUUAUCACGGGAGACACACGGCGGGUGCUAACGUCCGUCGUGAAGAGGGAAACAACCCAGACCGCCAGCUAAGGUCCCAAAGUCAUGGUUAAGUGGGAAACGAUGUGGGAAGGCCCAGACAGCCAGGAUGUUGGCUUAGAAGCAGCCAUCAUUUAAAGAAAGCGUAAUAGCUCACUGGUCGAGUCGGCCUGCGCGGAAGAUGUAACGGGGCUAAACCAUGCACCGAAGCUGCGGCAGCGACGCUGAUGCGUUGUUGGGUAGGGGAGCGUUCUGUAAGCCUG
rnacentral:rRNA from 1 species